rnacentral:Y_RNA from 1 species
GGCUGGUCCGAUGGUAGUGGGUUAUCAGAACUUAUUAACUUUAGUGUCACUAAAGUUGGUAUACAACCCCCCACUGCUAAAUUUGACUGACUUUAA